rnacentral:tRNA from 2 species
GGGCCUGUAGCUCAGUGGUUAGAGCAGGGGACUCAUAAUCCCUUGGUCGCAGGUUCGAGUCCUGCCGGGCCCA